CGUCAGACAACCCUGGUAUUUUUAGGGGUUUAGUGGAUUUUGUUGCCUCACUAGACAAUGUACUAGAGGAGCACCUUAAGACAGCUACCGUUUUUAAGGGCACAUCGAAGACGGUACAAAAUGAACUGUUGGACUCCAUGCUAUCAGUAAUAAAGGAUUACAUUCUAGAGGAAGUAACUGCGGCUGAUUUUAUCGCCAUUCUAGCUGACGAGACGACUGACGUCUCCACCCGCUGUCAGAUGGUGCUUGGGCUACGUUACAUGGAUUCUAAUAAUAAUAUCCAAGAGCGUUUUUUUGAGUUCUUGACCAUUUAGAACGCAAACGCCGAGUCCAUCGCUACAGCACUUCUGGACAGGCUAAGUACCAUACUACCAAAUGGACAAAAAAAAACAAAGUAAUUGCCCAAACUUAUGACGGGGCUACUGUAAUGAGAGGAAGCACCGGCGGAGUGCAGCGAAAGAUAAUAGAUGUGUACAAAAAUGCUCACUACGUUCACUGUUAUGCGCAUCAGCUGAACCUCAUCAUACAGCAGGCGACGUCACACAUCCCCAGAAUUGGAACUUUUUUUUCUGACCUUGGUGGAUUUUCUGCCUUCUUCUCCAGGUCACAUAAGCGAAUCGCCGUGCUUGACCAAGUGGUUGCGCACAGACUUCCCAGAGCCUCUACAACACGUUGGAACUUUCAAAGUCGCGCUGUAAACACUGUGUACGAACACAAGGAUGACCUUUUAAAAUGUUUUCAGAUCAUCAGAGACUCAGGGAACUUUGAUAACUCAACUGUCAGAGAGGCAGGGUGUUUUGUGAGGAUGCUCGAAGACGAGGCUUUCUGUUUUUUCCUUGCAUUGUUUCACAAGAUCAUGCCAAAUGUAGACAUGCUAUUCAACCAGCUGCAGAAGAGGAACAUCGACCCUGUCUACAUUAAAGCAGCUGUCCAGGGAUUCACAAACAACAUGCAAGCAAUCAGGUAAAUGUCCUUGUUUACUAUUGUCUGAUAAAGCUGCUGUUGUUAGAAAGAUUCGUUGUUAAUUUUUAUCUUUAUUUUUUUUGGACCAGGGACUCAAUCCCCUUUCUCUGUGGGGACAGUGCAUCAUCUGACCAGCAGCACCAGCACAAAAAGCGACAGAGGACCCUGGGACCAGGAGAACAACAGAGGCUAGCUACAGAGGUAUGUGAUACCAUCCUGAUUCAUACCAAGGAGCGGUUCUCCUUUACCCAGCACCUCGUCAGUGCAACAUUGCUGCAUGGAGAAUUGUUUCCACAACACAGUGUGACGUUUCCUGAAUCAGCACUUGAAACAACAGUGGAGGCAUACCCCAUGCUGAACAAGGCCAAGCUCAAAACAGAACUGUCCCUCAUCUAUGAGAACCCUGAGUUUAGGGUUGGCAGUGGUGCCGUGCCUCUGAAGAUUGUUCUCAAUGAAAAACUGGUACAAAGUACUUUCACAGAGACUGUCAGUCUUCUCAAGAUCAUAAUCACCACGCCUAUGACAACAGCAGAGUCAGAGAGGUGCUUUUGUACUUUGAAGAGGAUCAAGACUUUCCUAAGAAAUACAAUGACCCAGGAUCGCCUUAAUGCUUUGGCAAUGCUUUCGAUUGAGAAGAAACUCGUCAGAGACAUUCCUGACUUCAAUAAGAAAGUCAUUGAGAAAUUUGUCAAUCAGAAGGAGAGGAGAGCAAAAUUCCUGUACAAAUAAGUAAAUGCAGGUUUUUUCACCACAUUGAUUUUCUUGUACAUGGUUAUCCUCAGAGUCAUGGAAGUAUCCAGAAUUUAACUGCGAUUUGUAAAUUAACUGUUCUGAGAUGCUUUAACUAAUAAACAUGUGACCAGAUGUUCUUAAACUGUGUCUGCAUUUCAAUAAAUCAUAUUGCAGCGCUUGCUGAAAUUGUUUGCUAUGCCAGUGUGCCACAGCCCCACUUAAGAAAAUUUUCACCAGCCGCCACUGCAUCCAACAUAAUACACAUACGAUUUUUUUCUCCACUGUUUACUUUCACUUAAGACAUAACCAAUAUUUUUUUUUCGAACAUACUUUCUAAGAUGGAUAUUUUGACAUAUGCUGUAUGUAUUUGUCAGUACAAGAGCAAAAAGAAGCAAAUUCGGUGUUCAAGCGUUUUGAGAAGCCUCUCUCUGCGUGAGCCCUGAACACCAGAACACCGCGGGUGCUGAAUUGGGCUCUUUCACAUCCUUUUCUGUUUAUUUAAACUGCGAUUUGUAUUUGUUCGUUCAGGUGCAGGAGGAAGUUCGAGGAGAACUUCACAAUGGAUAGCUCGGUUCAAUGUUGCUGUCUGUGAGACGCGGCUCUCCGCGUGCGCACUGAACACAGCGCGCGAGUAGCCUACUCAUUUGAGCUUUACCGCGUCUUGUGUUUGAAUGCUUUAAACUCUUUUAAAUGUUUAAAUUGGCUAGGUUUUAAAACACGUGAAAAUGAUAAGCUUUCGUGACGACGCGCAGCAGUGGCCUGUCAACUUUCCUGAGCGUCCAGAUGGUUGAGAUCGCCGGGGGCCCCCCAAUCAGCCGCGGGCCCCUAUAAUCGUCACCACCUUUCACCCCACUAGCGACGGCCCUGGAUGUAAUCAGCCAUCAGUAGUUUAGCAAUCAAUUCUGAAAAUAUGUAAAUGUAAAAAUAUAGCCCAGAAAAUAUUAAGGUAACUUAUUCAUGUAAUUAUGAUUUCUCUUGACUGUAUAGUUAAUCUGCAUGUUCAUUCAUACAAACCUAUGUAAUAUUUAAGUGAUAAUUUAAUUUUUUUCAUUUUUCUCCCUUUUCCAUUCUCAGAUAUUAAACCAUAUACCAUAUAUUAAAUAAUUUUUCAACUUUAGUUUUAAGCCAUUAACAUAAUGUCUUCUCUCUUUUGAGUAUUGAUUGCCAUCUAGUCCUGAUUACAGAGUUAAGCUCCAGCCCCAGUAAUGUACUGCUGAAGCAGCUGAUCAAGGUCUUCAGGAUCAUCACAAACUUCAGACAGGUGUGUGGACAGGCUGGAGAUAAACUCUGCAGGAGUCUGGACCUCCAUGACACAACUGUUUUUGUGUCAGAUGCAGAUAAAGAGUCACCAGGAACAGGUGACUCUAUCUUUUGUCAUGUA